UACAGAGGGUGCAAGCGUUGUUCGGAAUUAUUGGGCGUAAAGGGCGCGUAGGCGGUGCGGUAGUCACCUGUGAAACCUCUGGGCUUAACUCAGAGCCUGCAGGCGAAACUGCCGUGCUUGAGUGUGGGAGAGGUGCGUGGAAUUCCCGGUGUAGCGGUGAAUGCGUAGAUAUCGCUUGGAACGCCAAAGGUGAAAAGCAGGUUGUGCUGGGGAUGUUCGUGAGCACU
rnacentral:rRNA from 1 species